rnacentral:lncRNA from 1 species
UAUUGAAUGAGAAAAAGUACUCGUUGCAAAGUUAUACUAUUAUGGCGCAACUGAGUAGUCUAAUGUAGUUCCGGUUUUGGUUUUUGUGAACGUUGACAUCGAUUCGUUCCAAAUUUACACUCUCGGGGUAUAAUAGAAAGUUUUUACUUCUUAUUCGAUAGAAUGAUAAAAAGUACUCGUUGUAAAGUUAUACUAUUAUGGCGCAACUGAGUAGUCUAAUGUUGUUCCGGUUUUGGUUCUUGUGAACGUUGACAUCGAUUCGUUUCAAAUUUAAACUCUCGGGGCGUAAUAGAACAAAAUAAUUAGGUUUUGCUCUUUUUUCGAAUGAAUGAGAAAAAAUGACAGUUGCAAAGUCAUACUGUUAGGGCUCAACAUAGUAGUCUAACGUUGUUCCGCUAUUGGUUCUUGUGAACGUUGACAUCGAUUCGAUCCAAAUUUACACUCUCGGGGUAUAAUAGAAAGCUUUUACUCCCUGUUCGAUAGAAUGAGAAAAUGUAUUCGUUGCAAAGUUAUACUGUUAUGGCGCAACGAGUAGUCUAAUGUUGUUCCGGUUUUGGUUCUUGUGAACGUUGACAUAGAUUUAUUCCAAAUUUAAACUCUCGGAGCGUAAUAGAACAAUAUAAUUAGGUUUUGCUCUUUGAUCGAUUGAAUAGGAAAAAAUAUUUGUUGCAAAGUUAUACUGUUAUGGCGCAACUGAGUAGUCUAAUUUAGUUCCGGUUUUGGUUCUUGUGAACUUUGACAUCGAUUCGUUCCAAAUUUACACUAUCGGGGCAUAGCAGAACAAUAUAAUAAGGUAUUACUCUUUGUUCGAUUAAAUGAGAAAAAGUACUAGUUGCGAUGUUAUACUGUUAGGGCUCUACUGAGUAGUCUAACGUUUUUCCGGUUUAGGUUCUUGUGAACGUUGUCAUCGAUUCGUUCCAAAUUUACACUCUCGGGGCAUAAAAGAACACUUUUACUCCUUAUUCGAUAGAAUAAGAAAAAGUACUCGUUGCAAAGUUAUACUGUUAUAGCGCAACAGGGUAGUCUAAUGUUGUUCCGGUUUUGGUUCAUGCGAACGUUGACAUCGAUUAGCAAAUUUACACUCCCAGCGUAUAAUAGAACAAUAUAAUUAGGUUUUACUCUUUGUUCGAUUAAAUGAGAAAAAGUACUAGUUGCAAUGUUAUACUGUUAGGGCUCUACUGAGUUGUCUAACGUUGUUCCGGUUUUGGUUCUUGUGAACGUUGACAUCAUUUCGUUCCAAAUUUACACUCUCGGGGCAUAAUAGAACAAUAUUAUUAGGUUUUACGCUUUAUUCGAUUGAACGAGAAAAAGUUCUCGUCGCAAAGUUAUAUUGUUAUGGCGCAACUGAAUAGUCUAAUGUAGUUCCGGUUAUGGUUCUUGUGAACGUUGACAUCGAUUCAUUCCAAAUUUACACUCUCGGGGUAUAAUAGAAAGCUUUUACUCCCUGUUCGAUAGAAUGAUAAAAAGUACUCGUUGUAAAAUUAUACUGUUAUGUCGCAACUGAGUAGUCUAAUAUUGUUCUGGUUUUGGUUCUUGUGAACGUUGACAUCGAUUCGUUCCAAAUUUAAACUCCCGGGGCGUAAUAGAACAAUAUAAUUAGGUUUUGCUCUUUGUUCGAAUGAAUGAGAAAAAAUAUUAGUUCCAAAGUUAUACUGUUAGGGCUCAACUGAGUAGUCCAACGUUGUUCCGGUUUUUUUUCUUGUGAAUGUUGACAUCGAUUCGUUCCAAAUUUAAACUCUCGGGGCGUAAUAGAAUAAUAUAAUUAGGUUUUGCGCUUUGUUCGAUUGACUCAGAAAAAAUACUAGUUGCAAUGUUAUACUGUUAGGGCUCAACUGAGAAGUCUAACGUUGUUCCGGUUUUGGUUCUUGUGAACGUUGACAUCGUUUUGUUGCAAAUUUACACUCUCGGGGCAUAAUAGAAAUCUUUUACUCUUUGUUCGAUUGAAUGAGAAAAAGUACUCGUUGCAAAGUUAUACUGUUAUGGCGCAACUGAGUAGUGUUUUGGUUUUUGUGAACUUUGACAAUAAUUCGUUCCAAAUUUACACUCUCGGGACAUAAUAGAACAAUAUAAUUAGGUUUUGCACUUUGUUCGAUUGAAUGAGAAAAAGCUCUAGUUGCAAAGUUAUACUGUUAAGGCUCAACUGAGUAGUCUAACGUUGCUCUAAUUUUUGUUCUUGUGAACGUUGACAUCGUUUCGUUCCAAAUUUACACUUUCGGGGCAUAAUAGAAAGCUUUUACUCCCAGUUCGAUAGAAUGAGAAAAAGUACUCGUUGCAAAGUUAUUCUGUUAUGGCGCAACAGAGUAGUCUAAUGUUGUUCCGGUUUUUGUUCUUGUUAACGUUGACAUCGAUUCGUUCCAAAUUUACACUCUCGGGGCAAAAUAGAACAAUAUAAUUAGAUUUUACUCUUUGUUCGAUUGAAUGAGAAAAAGUGCUAGCUUCAAUGUUAUACUGUUAGGGCUCAACUGAGUAGUCUCACGUUUUUCCGAUUUUGGUUCUUGUGAACGUUGACAUCGAUUCGUUCCAAAUUUACACUCUCGGGGCAUAAUAGAAAGCUUUUACUCCUUGUUCGAUAGAUUGAGAAAAAGUACUUAUUGCAAAGUUAUACUGUUAUGGCGCAACAGAAUAGUCUAAUGUUGUUCCGGUUUUGGUUCUUGUGAACGUUGACAUCGAUUCGUUCCAAAUAUACACUCUCGGGGCGUGAUAGAAAGCUUUUACUCCUUGUUUGAUAGAAUGAGAAAAAGUACUCGUUGCAAAGUUAUACAGUUAUGGCGCAACAGAGUAGUCUAAUGUUGUUCCGUCUUUGGUUCUUGUGACUUUGACAUCGAUUCGUUCCAAAUUUACACUCUCGGGGCAUAAUAGAACUGUCACGCCCCCGCCCCGAGACCGCUACCAAUUUGGCACGGUUCGGACGCGGCGGACGGACUACCGGACGGACAGCACCUCCCCUGCCCGCCCAAUGCUCCAACGACUAGAUUGUGUACAACAAGUUCCCAGGAAAACAACUUGAUUACAUACACAAUCGUGUAACAACAACGAGAGCACAAUCAGUGCUAUACUAUACGAGAGCCAGCAUCACAAGUAAUAAAACCAUACAAGUGAACAAAAGAGAGAUGUACUUAACUAUUAACUCAUUAAACUUCAUACAAUUAUUAUAACUUACAUUCUUUCAAACUUGUACAAUAUAUAUACAAUCCUCUCAAAACCUCACCCUAUACAUCCAUCUACUCUCAAAAUAGGUACAUGGUGUAACUAAUGCAUAAGGAAGUAAACCUCUGCUAAUGUCACUAGGGCGCUGCGCCCUUACCGCGAUCCUCACCAGGGGCUCUCGAACUCGGACCUGCAACAUGGUGGAGUGAGAACUACGAAUAGUUCCCAGUGGGUUCGGCCGCCGACUCCGCCGAUCUCCCCAGUAGGUCUAAGCAGGCAUAGAUAGAUAUGCAGAUAUAUAGGAAUAUGAAACUGAAAGCAGUAACAGUAAUGAGCAGCUAUGAACUAUGAUCUAUCAAUGCCUCAAUCCAAAUGUAAUGCAUGCAUGAAACUCAUAGUAAGAAGGCUGGCAGUCAUACUACCAUGUUCAACAACAAGGUCAUUCAUCUGAUUACCCAAUCUCUCGGCGAACGCAAGGCUCGCUCACAGUCUCACGUCUCUAAGUCUCAUAGGAGAGGUGGCUAGCUAUUCACCUACCCCGAGACCGCCUGCGGACACUACACUGGUCCAAGGGCACUACACUGGCCCCCUCGCGUGCCAAACUCCGGAGUGCACUACCUGUGAGGAGCUACCUCCACAGGUGCAGACAGGCUAAGUGAGCUCGAUCCAAUCUCAUGAACUGGGAACACCAUAACCAACUAGAAUUGGUGUCACUAUAACAUCAGGUGUUCAUCUGCUCAAUCUCAUAGUGUCUCAACCACACUAAAGUUCUCAAGUUCACUAUCAACUAGGUGCCACUCGUUCUGGUUUCAUUGUUAACUAGAUGCCACUCGUUCUCUUGACAAGUUCUUGAUAUACUAGUUUCCAAUAUACUAGGUUCAUAUUCACAUAAACAUGUUCAUCAUAUAUAGGGUCAACUAUCUCAUAGUGUUCAACUCAUGCAUACUAGGUUCUCAUUCAUUGCAUCCACAACCCGAACUAUCACUAGCAUGCAAGGAUAUGCACAAUCACAUUUAACACCCUAUAAUGCUAUAUCACAGUAUGUAAAUGAUCGACAAUGAUACUCAGACAUAAAGAGCAGCCCGACUGCUUCGGGAUGGCACUCCCCCACCUCAUGGCGAUGCCGUGAGUCUUCGAAUGCGAUUCGCCGACGUUUCGACGCCUCGUUGGCCUUCCAGGCAAGAACGGAGCUCCGAGGGUCGCCUUUGACAAUAACUCCGCACCUACUCGACGAAUCGACGAACCGUCUUCGCCGGCGUUCAGGGACCUAGCAAUUAGGUUUACAACCUCUCAAAUUAGAUCAAAACCCUAAAUUUGCCAAAAUCCCAAAUCGGAGCCCUAUGUCUCAACAAUGGAGAAAUCCGCGGUGCGAGCUUCUAUUUCGAGCUCGAACCUACUCCCUACCUUCAAUAGGUUCCAUUCGAACCAUUUCUAAACCAUAAAACCCUAUCGUAAGAAAUCCACCAUCGUAGGGCUAGAAGCUUACCUUCAAAAGCUUAGUCCAAGAAGAAGAAGUAGAUGAGGAAGGUGAUCUCCACCUUUGUCUUCUUCUUCUCCUACUUCUUCUCCUUCCUCUCCGCUUUUUCUUCUUCUUCUUCUUUUCCUUCCUAGAGAGAGAAAGGGAAAGAGUGUGAGAGAGGGAGAGAGCAACUGAGAGGGAGAGAGGGGUCCCCAAGCCUUUAUAUGGGCCAUUUUGCAGAUAGCCCCCUCAACUUUCCAUUUCCUGAAACAGCCCUCCCUGGGCUAUUCUCGCAGUGAGGGACCGGUCCUAGGUUGGGGAGACCGGCCCCCGAGAGCUGCACAAUCAGGCAGAAGGGAUUUCGCGUUCGGGAACCGGUCCCUCCCUGAGAGAUCGGUCCUCGGUAGACCGGUCCUUGUCCGAGAGACCGGUUCCCGAGAGCUGGGUUCUCGGGACUUAGCCAAAUUUCGGCCAAUCUCGCUGGGCUAACGUUCGGGAACCGGUCCCUGCCUGCCAGGGACCGGUCUCAUCAGAGACCCCCCCGCAGCCCAGCCCGAUGGGACCGGUCCCUCCCUGCCAGGGACCGGUCGCCGAGAGCAUUUCUGCUCUAGUGCUGCUUUUGCACUGGUGCACUCGCGGACCUUUCCAUGAUGCACAUUAUGCAUUCUAAGUAUCUUCGGACUUUCCGAAACUUACACACUCGACAAUUAGUCGAUUCCCAUCGAAGUCUAAUCCCCGGAUUUCGAGAAUUCACUUCCCUUACAAGAACAAUAUAAUUAGGUUUUGCUCUUUAUUCGAUUCAAUGAGAAAAAGUACUCGUUGCAAAGUUAUAAUGUUAUGGCGCAACUGAGUAGAGUAAUUUAGUUCCAAUUUUUUGUUCUUGUGAACUUUGACAUCGAUUCAUUCCAAAUUUACACUCUCGGGGCAUAAUAGAACAAUAUAAUUAGGUUUUGCUCUUUGUUCGAUUGAAUGAGAAAAAGCUCUAGUUGCAAAGUUAUACUGUUAUGGCUCAACUGAGUAGUAUAACGUUGUUCCGAUUUUGGUUCUUGUGAACGUUGACAUCGUUUCGUUCCAAAUUUACACUCUCGGAGCAUAAUAGAANNNNNNNNNNNNNNNNNNNNNNNNNNNNNNNNNNNNNNNNNNNNNNNNNNNNNNNNNNNNNNNNNNNNNNNNNNNNNNNNNNNNNNNNNNNNNNNNNNNNNNNNNNNNNNNNNNNNNNNNNNNNNNNNNNNNNNNNNNNNNNNNNNNNNNNNNNNNNNNNNNNNNNNNNNNNNNNNNNNNNNNNNNNNNNNNNNNNNNNNNNNNNNNNNNNNNNNNNNNNNNNNNNNNNNNNNNNNNNNNNNNNNNNNNNNNNNNNNNNNNNNNNNNNNNNNNNNNNNNNNNNNNNNNNNNNNNNNNNNNNNNNNNNNNNNNNNNNNNNNNNNNNNNNNNNNNNNNNNNNNNNNNNNNNNNNNNNNNNNNNNNNNNNNNNNNNNNNNNNNNNNNNNNNNNNNNNNNNNNNNNNNNNNNNNNNNNNNNNNNNNNNNNNNNNNNNNNNNNNNNNNNNNNNNNNNNNNNNNNNNNNNNNNNNNNNNNNNNNNNNNNNNNNNNNNNNNNNNNNNNNNNNNNNNNNNNNNNNNNNNNNNNNNNNNNNNNNNNNNNNNNNNNNNNNNNNNNNNNNNNNNNNNNNNNNNNNNNNNNNNNNNNNNNNNNNNNNNNNNNNNNNNNNNNNNNNNNNNNNNNNNNNNNNNNNNNNNNNNNNNNNNNNNNNNNNNNNNNNNNNNNNNNNNNNNNNNNNNNNNNNNNNNNNNNNNNNNNNNNNNNNNNNNNNNNNNNNNNNNNNNNNNNNNNNNNNNNNNNNNNNNNNNNNNNNNNNNNNAUGAGAAAAAGUACUCGUUGUAAAGUUAUACUGUUAUGGCAGAACAGAGUAGUCUAAUGUUUUUCCGGUUUUGGUUCUUGUGAACUCUGACAUCGAUUCGUUCCAAAUUUACACUCUCGGGGCAUAAUAGAACAAUAUAAUUAGGUUUUACUCCUUAUUCGAUUCAAUGAGAAAAAGUGCUCGUUGCAAAGUUGUACUGUUAUGGCGCAACUGAGUAGUCUAAUUUAGUUCCGGUUUUGGUUCUUCUGAACUUUGACAUCGAUUCGUUCCAAAUUUACACUCUCGAGGCAUAAUAGAACAAUAUAAUUAGGUUUUGCUCUUUGUUCGAUUGAAUGAGAAAAACCUCUAGUUGCAAAGUUAUACUGUUAAGGCUCAACUGAGUAGUCUAACGUUGCUCCGAUUUUGGUUCUUGUGAACGUUGACAUCAUUUCGUUCCAAAUUUACACUCUCGGGCAUAAUAGAAAGUUUUUACUCCUUGUUCGAAAGAAUGAGAAAAAGUACUCGUUGCAAAGUAUUUCUGUUAUGGCGCAACAGAGUAGUCUAAUGUUGUUCCGGUUUUAGUUCUUGUUAACGUUGACAUCGAUUCGUUCCAAAUUUACACUCUCGAGGCAAAAUAGAACAAUAUAAUUAGGUUUUACCCUUUGUUCGAUUGAAUGAUGAAAAGUACUAGUUGCAAUGUUAUAGUGUUAGGGCUCAACUGAGUAGUCUAACGUUGUUACGGUUUUGGUUCUUGUGAACGUUGACAUCGAUUCGUUCCAAAUUUACACUCUUGGGGCAAAAUAGAAAGCUUUUACUCCUUAUUCGAUAGAUUCAGAAAAAGUACUCGUUGCAAAGUUAUACUGUUUUGGCGCAACCGAAUAGUCUAAUAUUGUUCCUGUUUUCGUUCGUGUGAAAGUUGACAUCAAUUCGUUCCAAAUUUACCCUCUCAGGGCAAAAUAGAAAGCUUUUACUCCUUAUUCGAUAGAUUGAGGAAAAGUCCUCGUUGCAAAGUUAUACUGUUACGGCGCAACAGAAUAGUCUAAUAUUUUUCCGAUUUUGGUUUUUGUGAACGUUAACCUCGAUUCGUUCAAAAUUUACAGUCCUGGGGCAUAAUAGAAAAAUAUAAUUAGAAUUUACUCUUUAUUCGACUGAAUGAGAAAAAGUACUCGUUGCAAAGUUAUACUGUUAUGGCGCAACAGAGUAGUCUAAUGUUGUUCCGAUUUUGGUUCUUGUGAACGUUGACAUCGAUUCGUUCCAAAUUUAUACUCUCGGGGCAUAAUAGAACAAUAUUAUUAGAUUUUACGCUUUAUUCAAUUGAACGAGAAAAAGUACUCGUUCCAAAGUUAUACUGUUAUGGCGCAACUGAGUAGUCUAAUGUUGUUCCGAUUUUGGUUCUUGUGAACGUUGACAUCGAUUCGUUCCAAAUUAAAACUCUCGGGGUAUAAUAGAGCAAUAUAAUUAGGUUUUGCUUUUUGUUCGAUUGAGUAAGAAAAAAUACUAGUUACAAAGUUAUACUGUUAGGGCUCAACUGAGUAGUCUAACGUUGUUUCAGUUUUGGUUCUUGUGAACGUUGACAUCGAUUCAUUCCAAAUUUACACUCUCGGGGCAUGAUAGAAAGUUUUUACUCCAUGUUCGAAUGAAUUAGAAAAAGUACUAAUUACAACGUUAUACUGUUAUGGCGCAACAGAGUAGUCUAAUGUUGUUCCGGUUUUGGUUCUUGUGAACGUUGACAUCGAUUCGUUCCAAAUUUACACUCUCGGGGCAUAAUAGAAGCUUUUAUUCCAUUGAUGCCAUAGAAUGAGAAAAAUGUAACUCAAGUUAAAAGUAUUUGUUUAUUGGCGUUUUGAGUAGUUCUAAUUUAGUUACCGAGUUUUGUUUUGUGAACUUGACAUUGAUUGUUUCCAAUUUCACUACGGGGCAUAAGGAACAAUAUAUUAGGUUUUGCUCUUGUCCGAUUAAAGAGAAAAGUUUAGUUGACCAAAGUAUAUACUGUUAGGAGCUUCAACUGAGUAGAAUUUACGUUGUCGGUUGAGCGUAUAUGAUCAGGACUUAGAUCAGGAGCAAACACGAACCGUUGGCUUUCUCGUAGAAACGUUGACAUGUUUCGCUUCCAAAAUUUCACUCUCGGGGGCAUAAUAGAAAGAUGUUGUACUUUGUUCGAUAGUAAUAGCAAAAAGUCUCGUGCAAAGUUAUAUACUAUUAUGGCGCACAGAGUAAGACUAAUGUUGUUCCGGUUUGGUUCAUAAUGUAAUUUUAACUUCGCAUUGUUCCAAAUUUACACUCUCGCGGGCAUAUAAGAUAUAUGAUUAGGUUUACUCUUUAUUCGAUUCAAUGAGAAAAGUACUCGUUGCCAAGUUUAUCUGUUCUAUGCGAACUGAGUAGUUAAUUUAGCUUCGGUUUUGCGGUCUUUGUAACUUUGACAGUCGAUUCAGUUCCAAUUUACACAUCUCGGGGAAUAAUAGACAAUAUAAUUAGGUUUUUGCUCUUUUGUUCGACUUGAAUGAGAAAACUCUAGUUGCAAAUUAUUACUGUUGAGGGGUCAAAUGAGUAGUGUAACGUCGUUCCGGUUUUGGUUCUUGUGAACGUUGACAUCGUUUCGUUCCAAAUUUACACUCUCGGGGCAUAAUAGAAAGCUUUUACUCCUUGUUCGAUAGAGUGAGAAAAAGUACUCGUUGCUAAGUUAUUUUGUUAUGGCGCAACAGAGUAGUCUAAUGUUGUUCCGGUUUUAGUUCUUGUUAACGUUGACAUCGAUUCGUUCCAAAUUUUCACUCUCGGGGCAAAAUAGAACAAUAUAAUAAGGUUUUUCUCUUUGUUCGAUUGAAUGAGAAAAAGUACUAGUUGUAAUGUUAUAGUGUUAGGGCUCAACUAAGUAGUCUAACGUUGUUCCGGUUUUGGUUCUUGUGAACGUUGACAUCGAUUCGUUCCAAAUUUACACUCUCGGUGCAUAAUAGAAAGCUUUUAUUCCUUGUUCUAUAGAAUGAGAAAAAGUACUCGUUACAAAAUUAUACUAUUAUGGCGCAAUCUAAAAUCGAGUCGGUGGUCAAUCGCUCCUUCAGCUCUUGAAAGCUUCUUUCGCAAGCUUCAUUCCAUAGGAAUUUAGCUCCUUUAUGUGUAAGUCGAGUGAGAGACGUAGACAUCUUUGCAAAUCCUUCUACAAAACUUCAGUAGUAUCCGGCCAAACCAAGGAAACUCCGAAUCUCGGUGACAUUAGUCGGCCUAGGCCAAUCUUUAAUCGCUUCAAUCUUCUUUGGGUCCACUGCGAUUCCUAUUUCAGAAAUUACAUGUCCCAGAAAUGCCACUUCUCGAAGCCAAAAUUCACAUUUCUUUAACUUUGCAAACAAUUUCUUUUCUCGAAGUGCUUGUAAUACCACUCUUAGAUGAUUUUCAUGCUCCUCGUCACUUCGAGAAUAUAUCAAGAUAUUGUCGAUAAACACGACCACAAACCUAUCCAAAUAGGGCUUAAAAACACGAUUCAUUAAAUCCAUAAAGACUGCUGGGGCAUUUGUCAGUCCAAAUGGCAUAACUGUAAAUUCAUAAUGCCCAUAUCGUGUCCUAAAAGCGGUCUUGGAAACCUCUUCAGGCUUGAUCUUAAGCUAAUGAUAACCUGAUUGCAAAUCAAUCUUAGAAUACACUUUCGAUCCUUGCAGCUGAUCGAAUAAAUCAUCGAUUCUGGGUAAUGGAUAUUUAUUCUUGAUUGUAACUUUGUUGAUUUCUCGAUAAUCCACACACAAUCGAAGUGAUCCAUCCUUUUUCUUAACAAAUAAUACCGGUGCUCCCCAAGGUGACACACUCGGUCGAAUGAAACCCUUAUCCAAUAAAUCUUGUAAUUGUGCCUUCAGCUCUUUCAAUUCAGCGGGUGCUAUCCUAUAGGGUGCUUUUGAAAUUGGGGUAGUCCCAGGGACAAGAUCUAUCACAAACUCAACUUCCCUAUCAGGUGGCAUACCCGGCAACUCAGCUGGAAACACAUCCCCGAACUCCCGCACAACCGGAAUAUCAUCAAUCUUAACGGUUCCUCCGUCACUCACAGAAAUACUAGCCAAAUAGGCUACACAGCCCCUCCGAAUCAACUGUCAUGCUCGCGAAGAACUAAUAGUCAUUGCGAACGAUGAACUCUGACACCCCUUAUAAAUAAACUCCUGCUAACCCGGCUCCCUAAAGGUCACCGUUCUGUUCGUGCAAUCUAUGGUGGCAUAAUACUGGGUCAACCAAUCCAUACCCAAUACUACAUCAAACUCUCCAAGUUUGUGUAGUGCCAAAAGAUCCACUGGCAUAAUCCAAUCGCCUACCCGAAUUGGGCAGCGAGGGCAGAACUCACGAACAUCUAGGGUAUGUCGGGUACAAUCACUCGUCCCAGAUGCAAAGUAGGUACUACCUGAAUGCUAUGCAACUCGGCGAACUGCCGAUCAAUAAAAGAAUGCGAAGCACUAGUAUCAAAUAAUGCACGAACACGAAUAUCAUAAAGCAUAAUGAUACCUGCUACGACCUCCUCUGCUGCCGCGGCCUCCUCUGUCUGGGCGGCAUACAUACGCCCACUCGAACCCUGCCGAGGACUAUCAGACUGCCGCUGUCCCGGUGGUCGUCUGUACUGCGAGGGUGCUGUCGGGGUCCCUUGGCUCGGAGCUAAAGAUGCAGGUGCUGAUGCCGAUGAAGGUGCAGGUGAAGAACCUCUCGGGCACUCUGAGCGAAAGUGGCCCUCCUGACCACAAAGGAAGCACUUACCCCCACGUUGUGGACACUGUGGCGGUACGUGAGGCCUACUCAGAUAACACAACGCGGCGGUGGACGCCGCUCGGGUGCUCCACGACGUGCUGAAGAACCUCGACCUCUUGAUUGGCCCGGCUGGCCCCACGGAUACUUCGGCGGUCUCCUGAAGGGUUGCUGACCACUGCUCUCAGCUGCUGGCCGUUUUCCUUUACUUCGAUCCACAAUAUCUCUUUCCUUCAUAAUUUUCGCCCCCUUCUCCACAAUCAAAGCCCGGUUCACUACUUCCCUCUAAGUGGAAAGGUUUGACGCCUGGACCAAUCUGAAAAUCGCCGGCCGUAAACCUACCUCGAAAAUCCGAGCCUUAUCCUCAUCAUCUCGGACCACAAAAGGAACACAAUGCAGUAAUCGGGAGAACUCUCGUUCAUACUCAGCUACUGUCCUGUCCCCCUAUCUCAAGUUUCUUAAGUCCCUUUCCAUUUGCCUUUUUACACUCUGAGGAAAAUAGGUAGUCAACAGUAAUUCCUUGAACCUCGUCCAGGUAAUAGCGGACAAAUCAGUACGUGGUUCCUCACGAAUAUCCACCCACCACCUGUAAGCCUCGCCAUCGAGGUGGUGUGUCGCAAACCAAACCCGAUAUCGCUCCUCGACGAAAGUAUCAUAAAACAGUUUCUCCAUGUGCAUCAGCCAUUUCUCGACUACCCAAUGAUCAGCUUUUUCUCUGUCAAAAAUACGAGGGUUGCAACGACGGAAUUCGUUCAAUUGUUCCAUAAUCCGCUCUCGCUCCUCAGUCCCCACCAUCUCUGGUAACACUGUCCCUGAUGCCGCUACAGGUACUGGUGGUGGUACUACUGUCUCCUGUCGGGUCUCUGCCCUCGGAGCUACUGGGGGUGUGUCAGGUACUGGUGACUGUGCUCUCACUGUCGCAUCCCUGUCUGGUACUGUAGGUAUAGGAUCAGGAAUCUCUCUGUCGGUCGUCUACCGCAGUAGUAAAUCCUCUAACCUCUUCAUCCUGUCCUCCUGUCGACGCGCGGCAUCCAUCUACUGUCGCGCUGCCGCAGCCUGCUGAGCAACCAAAUUCGUCAGCUUUGUGAGCUGAUCCUACAACUCAUGGAUCCCACUGGAUCCAGAAGUAACGGAGGUCCCCACUUCCUCUGCAUCCGCCGCCUCAGCUGUCCCGGCGGCUUGCGAACGAGUCAAAGGCAUCUUCAGCUGCAGCACCGAAAACAAAUAUAGAUUAAUAAAACCUAUACUAUUGAACCUUUACUUCAGGUAUAAACCAACUAAUCAAGCGAAAGAAAUGAAAUGUAACGCGUACUAACUUCCGAUGUCACGUUGUCGGCCGCCAACGUGGCCCUCUGCAAAGUUAGUAAUUGCACAUUCCGAUCAAACUCCUACUAUUCGGAGUUUAUACCUUACCCAAUCAAAGUACUUUCGCUAACAACAACCUCAACUAGACCUCGUCUCUCACGAGCCUAUUCUUAUAGUCCAACCAGCCUAAGGUUUACUAGGUCUACUAAGACUCAACCCUAGGCUCUGAUACCACUAUAAUCUGUCACGCCCGGGUACCAGCGGAAGCAUAUCCGGUACGUGCACAGACCCGCCAUACACCUACAGUAUAUAAAGCGUCUACAAGAAAGCGAGUCGAUAGGAGAAAACAUAGAAAAUUCCUAUCCUGAUAUCAGAGCAUGUAUAAGUCAACAGGACUAUCAACAAAAGAACAAGAGUAUCCAACUCAAAAUAUAAGUACAAAAGAAAGUACUAAAACUAUAACAUCUGGAUCCAAAGACUCAUAUACAACACAGGGUACAUCACAUAAUAUUUAAAUGCAUAGUCUCCUAUAAACGACACACCAUUAGCCGACCCGAGUACAAGUAUCGGAUAGCACCUCCUAGCAAUGUCUAAGCAGACGCACUCCCUUACCACGAUCCCUAGCCCUGCCUGUAACGGCCUGUAAAAACAUGCAACAAUAAAAAGCGAAACUAUUAACAAUAUGUCCCAGUGGUAAGUCCGCCACACUCAGCGAAUUACACCACUAGCACUCAUAGUACUAAAUGAAAGAAGCGAUAAUUGCACUAUAUUACAGCAGUGUUAACAGGUAAUCGCAUCUAAUCAACAUCGUAAACAUGAUUCUACAUAAUGAACAACUAAAUAAUCGAAGCAUAGCAACUACUCAUAAAAAGAGCAAACAUGAUUGUAACUAAAUACUAAUAUCACAUAACUAACACAUCAUACGGUCCUUGCAUUAGUACUUUAUUUUCAUUCGUAAGGACCAUCCUCAAAUAGUCCAGCUUCGCCGUGCCUAAAUGAACCGUGUAAGUAAUACACCCCAGCAAUCCCACUUCCGUCACCCAACCCGCACGGCAGCAAUCACUCCGUAGCCAACUCCGAGCCGCUGAGGGAGCGACCUACACAACGUGUCGAAUUAGCACGAUGCUAACAACAAAGUCCCAUAGUCCAAACAAGCCAAACAUUAUGCAUAGUAUCCCUAUUUCUUACACUCUACGAUCUAUUAUCGGAAUUCUAAUAUAAAACAAUACAAUAGCUAGCAUCCCACUAGAUUAAAAGCACAUUGAAUAACUAUCAUAAUGGCAUUAGAACUUUCUAAAUCUCCAUGUACUAAUCAACAUCACAAGUAAUGCAUUGUUGCUAUUACUGAAGACAUAAUAAGUCCAUAUUACUCAAUUGAACUAACAAAACACACUGACAUAAAACAAAUAGGCAUGAGUCUCUACUUCAUGGAGUUCCAUUUCCCUUAUUCAAACGUAUAACACAGACUGUUUCAAAUCCUUAGCGACCAUAUAGUACAAAAACCAACACUAUAUAAAUUAAAGAAAUAUAGAACAUAGGGUAGCUUCACUUGCUUAGUAGGUCAAACCCCCUAUUACAGUCUCAAAUCAUUCCACUACGUCCCGAAAUUCAUACUCUACUAGCUUCAAACCUGCUGAAAAAAAGCAUCAGAACCGGCUCGAGACAUUACAUUAAGAUCUAUCCAAUUUCGGCAAAACAUGCUUAAUAAAAAGCUAGUAAUUGAAUCCUGGUUUGGGUUACAUUAUACCUCAAAUGUAUCCCUAAGAGUCAUCACAACUCACCGAACACAAUCCAACCCAAUCGUAGCCGCUGCAAAACGACAUCAAAUGGUUACAAAAUGCAGUAUAACGCAUUAAAAGCCGAAAUCUUGAAUCAUUCUAACUAAUUCCGCUACCCCAGUAAAAAUCCCUCCAAACCAACUCUAAGACACAGUUCAGCUCAAAGUAAAAAAAAAAGUUUUCCCCGCAAACCUGCUCGAAUACAUCCUUCCAACGCGUUAAGUUACUCAGUAGUGCAAAUAGCUUGAAAUACUCAUAAUAACUAAUUUAACCCUGUCACCUUAAAGCAACUUUCACUGAAACAUACCGAAAAACUCUCUACAUACGAACAGCCCCUACAUCAGUUGGAAAGCAAGGGAAAUCCAAUCAGCGAAAAAUUCAAUACGAAACCACAAUCAAAGAGAAUUAAGCUAAUUACCGCUCUUCAAACAAUUCAAUUUCCCGGGGAAAACCUCAAUAACGAAACUCAGUAAAGAUACUCCCACCCACACCCAAAACUCCCCUGGCGUUUCCAAACCAGCGAGCGACGACGCGCAAGAAAAUAAACUCAUUCGGCGAUCUCCAAUCGAAGGGAGAGAAACCCUAGAGAGAGAAAUGAAAAGUAAGCUGCUUCAACAGGGUCUAAGCAAACUUCACUGACACACGUGGUCGACUGGAGUCAUAAAUAAAAUCAAUACCCAAAGACCAAAAAGCCCUGCUGCCACACCAGCUGCUGCGCUAUAGCUGCUAAAUUCCGGUAACAGCAUAAUGCCUGUACCGGUACACAACAAAUUACAGAAAAAGUGCCACAAUCACUUCUCUUUACCAUCCAAUCCCCUAACUGUCCAAUAACCUUGCCCAAGCCUUUUAACAUAUAGAUAAGAUCAACAUAUCCUUCCUCACACUACGAACUUCCAAUUUGCAUAAGUUCAGUUGGUAUUACACUAAAUUUGUCCGGUUUUAGUUCUUGUAAACAUUGACAUCGAUCGUCCAAAUUACACUCCGGGCAAAAUAGAACAAUAAAAUAAGGUUUUACUCUUUGUCAUUGAAUGAGAAAAAGACAGUUUAAUGUUAAGUACGCUCAACUGAGUAUCUAACUUGUUCCGGUUUGGUCUUGGAACGUUGACAAUCGAUAUCGGUUCCAAAUUUACACCUCCACCCGGGCGUAAUAGAAAAGCUAUACUCUUUCGAAUAGAAUGAGAAAAAGACUUCGUUCAAAUUAACUUUUAUGGCGCAACAGAGUAAUCUAAUGUUUUCCAUUUAUUCUUGAACGAUGACAUAUCGAUUCAUUCCAAAUUUACACUCCGGGGUAAAUAGAAAAAAAGUAAUUAGACAUUUACUGCUUUAUUCCAUUAAAUAAAAAAAGUACUCGAUUCAAAUUAUACUGUAUGUCGUAAACAGAGUAUCUAAUGUUUUCCGAUUGUUGUUCUUGGAACGUUGACACGAUUCGUCCAAAUUUACACUUCCGGCAUAAAGAACAAUAUAAUCAGGUUUACUCUUGUCGAUUGAAUAAAAAAAUAUAUUCAGUUAUACUGUUAGGCUCACACUGAGAGUCCAACUAUUACCGUUUUCUUGUAACUUGACAAUUGAUUCGUUCCAAAUACACUCUCAGGGAAUAAUAAUAGCUUUACUUAGCUUGCUUGAUAGAUCAGAAAAAGUAACUCGUUAGUAAAGUUAUAACUUUAUGGCGGAAACAAAUAGUCUAAAAUAUUUCCGGUUUCGUUCCUGCUGAACUUUGACAUCGAUUCGUUCCCAAAAAUUUACAAACUCUCCCGGGCAAAUAGAACAAUAUAAAGUUUUACACCUAUCUCCGACUUCAAUAGAAAAAGGCUCGUUGCAACAGUUGUACUGUUAUGGGCGCAACAUACGUCCUAAUUAUUCCAGUUCUUGGUCUUCUGAACUUUGACAUCGAUAAUCGUUCUCCAAAAUUACAUUACACUUUCGGAAAUAACAAAAAAUAAAUUAUUUUGCUUCUUUGUCGAUCGAAUAGAAAAAUCUAGUUGCAAUUUAAAUUUAAGGCCAAUUUGAGUAGUCUAACGUUGCUGCUCCGAUUUUGGUUCUUAAUUAACCCUUGACAUCAGGUCGUUCCAUAUUUACACUCUCGGGCAAAUAGAAAGCUUUACUCUUCUUCGAUAGAAUGAAAAAAAAUACUCCGUACAAAGUUAAUGUAUAUGCGUCAAGCAAGUAUCAUAAUGUUUUCCGGUUAGUUCUUGUAUAACGUGACAUCGAUCGUUCCAAUUACACUCCGGCAAAAUAGAAACAAUUAUAAUAGGUUACUCUUGUUCGAUGAAUAAAAAAUAACUAGUUGCAAUUAUAAGGUUAGCUCAACUUAUCAACGUUUUCCGGUUUGGUUCUUGUGAACGUGACAAUCGGAUUCGUUCCAAAUUACACUCUCAUGAUUAAUAAAGCUUUACUCCUUGUUCGAAUAGAUGAGAAAAAGUAUCGUUUAAAAUUAACCUGUUGGCGACAGAGUAGUCCAAUUUUCCGUUUUGGCUUCUUGUGAACCUUGACACUCGAUUUCGUUCAAAUUUACACAUCUCGGCAAAUAAACAAUAUAAUUAGUUUUACUCCUAUUCUUCAAUGAGAAAAAGUACUCAGUUUCAAAGUUGUACGUAGCGCAACUAGUAUCUAAUUUUGUUUCGAUUAUGUUCUUCUGAACUUGACCAUCGAUUCGUUCCAAAAUUUACAACCCUCGGUGCCAUAAUAGAACAAAUAAUUAGGUAUUUGCUCUUUGAUUAUUAGAAUAGAAAAAGCUCUAGUUGCAAAGUUAUACUGUUAAGGCUCAACUGAGUAGUCUGACGUUGCUCCGAUUUUGGUUCUUGUGAACGUUGACAUCGUUUCGUUCCAAAUUUACACUCUCGGGGCAUAAUAGAAAGCUUUUACUCCUUAUUCGAUAGAAUGAGAAAAAGUACUCGUUACAAAGUUAUACUGUAAUGGUGCAACAGAGUAGUCUAAUGUGGGAGAACUCCUGUUAGUAGUCCGCCACCGAACGAACCCCUUGCCUCAAUUUGCGAAACCUCUCCUUUAGCCUUCGCUUUUCGGUGUCGGGGAAAUAAUUUUCAAACAUCUCCUUCUUAAACUCCUCCCAGAGCAUUGGUGGAAGGUCAGAGGGUCGAUCCCGCUUCAACCGCUUCCACCACACCUUCGUCGCCUUGUCGAGGCAAUGUGUGGCGAAAGGCACCUUAUCUUUCUCCGGGGUGUAUAGGUCCUCGAAGAUGGUCUCCAUAGAGUCUACCCAAGACUCCACCACCGACGGCUCCACUUUUCCCCGUUCAAAAGUUGGUGUCUUAAACUUCAUGAACUUCAUCAGAGCCGUCAGCGCACGUUCCCGCUCCACUUCGUCAGCCGUCGUAUUGAGUGUCGCCGAACCCGAAGCUGUCGGAGGCGCACUUGUCAGCGGGGGAACCGCCGCCAUCGGAACCGCCGCUAUGCCCUCACCCUCAGCCUCUACCGGCGUGGGUGUCGAAGGUGCGGGCGGAUCGCGAUCUCCUACCGCCGUCGCGGCCGUCGCCGCUGCCGCUUGCCGCUCCACAACUUCCUGGAGUUGCUCGAAUCGAGCCUCCUGGCGCUGCAUCGCGCCCAACAUUGCAGCGACCUGCUCCCGCAGCUCCUGCACUUCCUCCGAUCUCGGCUGCGCGGGCUCCGCAGAAGGCGGUACCGGAGCAGACCUACGCACGUAACGCCUUGGGGACAUUUGCUCCUGAAAAGCAACAACUCGGUUAGUUAUCUCAAUCCGAUAACUUCCUCAACAUUCACGAAAUUAAACGUCCCGACAACGAAAUCGGGCGGAAGCUCACAAGUGUUCCAGUUCUGGACUCUUAGCGCCGCGUCGUCGGCCGCCGACACAACCGCUACGAGCCGAGAAACUAGUAUCACUUGGAUCCGGCUCUAUUCACGGGUAGAGACAUAACACCAACUUCGACCCAAUCAAUCAACUUCCACCAUCGCCAUGGGUUCACAUUCACUCACGUCCCUAUAACCUUAGGGUUUACCAGCCUAGGGUCUCCUAGGUCAUUCUAGACUCUCUCUUUACUUACUCUGGUGCUCUGAUACCACUUUAUCUGUCACGCCCCGAAACCGAUACUAAUUUGGUCCAGUUCGGGCGCAUCGAACAGAUGUCGAACGGACAGCACCUCCCCUGUCUGCCCAAGGCCAACAGCGAGAUCAUGUACAACAAGUUCCCAGGAAAUUACUUGAAUACAUACAUGAUCACUGAACAACUACGAGGGGAGCACAAUCAGUGCUAAACGACUAAGAGCAAGAUACAAGUAUAAGAUAUACAAGUAAUGAUAACGAGAGGAACAUCUAUCUAUUACAUUCAUUCAGCCUUUAUAAUACAAUUUGAUUAUACAUUAAGCUUCUAAACAUAAUAUAAAGCUUACAUCUUCCAAAAUAUAAACAUUAGCUUACAUUCAUUCCAGAAUAUCUCACAUCCUAUACAUCAUCUACUCUCAAUGCAUAUAAAGGUGACUCUAAUGCAGAAAUAGGAAAGUAAGCUAAUGCAACUAGGGCGCUAGGCCCUUACCGCGAUGCUCGCCGUGUGAACUCGCGCUCGGCCCUGUAGCAAAAUGGGGGUGAGAACUAACUUCCUUAGUUCCCAGUGGGUUCGGCCGCCGACUCCGCCGAUCUCCUCACUAGGUCCAAGUGGGCACAAGCAAAUAACCAGGUAGAUAGAUAGGUAAUAAGCAAAGCGGUAAAGACAAGAUAGUAAAACUACACUACUAUGCCCGAAUCAUAAACAUAUGGAUGCAUGUACAAUGAAAUGGUAAACAACUAAUCCGUCAACAUGUCCAAAAAGUAAAGCUAUGCACUUAUUCAUCAAUCUCAUUUACUUGUUUCUUAAUCUCGUAGCUUCUCUGAAAGCUCGCCUACUGCUCACUAGCCAUCUCGAAGGUAUGGAGGGUCAACUCGCACUACGAACCGAGAUCGUCUGCUGGGACCCAAAAUAGGCAAUCCCUUGGGAUCCAAAAUAGGCAAUCCCACGUGACCAACUCCGGAGCGCACUACUUGUGUGGGGCUUCCAUCACAAGAUUUAAAAACAGACCGUGAGCAUGAUCCAAUCUCCUCGUCUCGAGAAUACCCUAUCCUCUAGGGUUACAAUCAUCAUAUAGUCCAUAGGCGUCGUAUACACCAAGUUUAACAUGUAUCACUUGUUUUCUUAUACACUAUCAACUAGAUUCCCACUCGUCCAUUGGUUUACUAUCGACUAGAUGCCACUCGUUCUUUGUUUAUCAUUAGACCAACCAUUGAGCCCAUCUCUUUCUCUGCACUAUAGGAUUCACAAGUCUCGACCCAAUCCUUAUCGAUCCACUAUGUCAAGUAUCCAAUACAUGCUACGAUAUCAUCAAGGAAAGCAUAAGGAAAGGCAAUGCACAAUCAUCCUAUAAUGCAAUAAUACAAGAUGCAGAAUCGAAAUGUACUAAGACAUUGAAGGGAGCCCGAUUGCUUCGGGAUGGACGCCACCCACCUCUUGGUGAUGCCACGAUGAUAGAAAACUCGACGUUGCGGUUCUUGCGCGUCGCCCUAACUCCUCGGGGCGAAGCGAGCCCUCAAGUACCCGAUUCGGCGAUUUCUCCGCACCCGCUCGUCGGAUCGAGAAACCGACUUCGCCGACGCGUUCCGGGACCUAGCAAUUAGGUUUGCGACCUAAUAGAUUAGAUCAAAACCCUAGAUUUCCAAAAUCCCAAUUCCGUGCCCUAGAAUGGCAACGGGGGAGAAAUCCGUGAUGCGAGCUUCGAUUGCGAGCCCGAACCACCUAUUCAUCUCCUCUAGGUUCCAUUUGAACCAAUUCUAAGCAAUAAAACCCAAUCCUAAGAAAUCUAUCAUGGGUGGGUUUGGAGCUUACCUCUAAGCCAAGCUCCAAGCUCGCUCUAGCUUGAAGGAGAGAGGGAAGAAGACCUUCUUCUUCUUCUUCUUGGACUUCUUCUUCACUUCUUCCUCUUUUCCUUCUUUUCUUUCUUCUCCUUCUUCUUCUCCUUCUUUUCUUUCUAGAGAGAGAGAGAGGGAAAGAGUGUGGGAGGGAGAAAGAGCAAAUGACAGGGAGAGAGAGGUCCCCCAACCUCUAUUAAAGGUCAUUUUGCAGAUAGCUCCGUCAACUUUUCAUCUUCUGAACAAGCCCUCUCUGGGCAUUUUCGCAGUGAGGGACCGGUCCCAGCUCGGGGAGACCGGUCCCUGAGAGCCUUCCAUCUCGGGUAGAAGGAUUUCGCGUUCGGGAACCGGUCCUUGCCUGAGAGACCGGUCCCCGGGAGACCGGUCCUUGUCCGAGAGACCGGUUCCCCAGAGUUGGGUUUUCGGGACUUAGCCAAAUUUCGGCUAUUUUCGCUGGGCUAACGUUCGGGAACCGGUCCCUGCCUGCCAGGGACCGGUCUCAUCAGAGACCCCCGCAGCCCAGCCUGAUGGAACCGGUCCCUCCCUGCCAAGGACUGGUCCCCGAGAGCAAUUCUGCUCCAGUGCAGAUUUUGCACUGGUACUCCCGCGGACCCUUCUUUAAUGCACUUUAUGCAUUAUAACCACCUUCGGACUUUCCGAAGCUUACACACUCGACGAAUAGUCGAUUCCAAACCAAAGUCUAAUCCUCGAGUUUCGAGAAUUCACUUCCUAACAUUCACGAUCACAAGGAGCACCACUGGUGUUAACAACUAAGAGCAAGGUUGUAAGGAAGUGAAUUCUCGAAAUACGAGGAUUGUACUUCAUCCAGGAUCGACUGAUUGUCGAAAGUAUACCCUUUGUGGGAGUUGAGAAUGUCCAAAGCACAAAAAGUGCCUUGGAGUUGAGUCCGCGAGAGCAAAUGAGGCAAACUGCAUCAUUGGGCUGAUGUUGCUCUCGGGGACCGGUCUCUGCAGGUGAGAGACCGGUUCCCCUGGCUGGGCGUAGCGGGGUUGCGUGAUGCAACCGGUCCCUGGCAGGGAGAGACCGGUUCCCGAACGUGGUCCCAGCGAGAGAUGCCAAAAAUUGGCUAAGUCCUGAAGAUCGAGCUCUCGAGGACCGGUCUCCCAGGCGAGGACCGGUCUCCCGAGGACCGGUCUCCCGGGGAGAGACCGGUUCCCGAACGCGUGCGCCCGAGGGAAGCUCUCGGGGACCGGUCCCAAGUCGGGGAGACCGGUCCCUCCGCGCGAAAACUGCCCAGUGAGGGCAGUGCACAGGAGUGAAAGUUGAGGGGCUUUUAUGCAAAAUGGCCUUUAUUUGAGUGGGCUGAGCCCUCUCUCUCCCUCACACUCUCUCAUUUCACUCUCUCUCACUCUCAUUUCUCUCUUGCUCUCUCUCUCUCUCUAGAAAGGAAAGAAGGAGAAGAAGAACAAGAAGGAGAGGAAGGAAAAGAAGAGGAAGAUAAGGAAGGAGAAGAAGAAGGAGAUCAAGAGGAAGGCUUUGAGCACCUCCAUCUCCCUCUCCUCUUCCCAUUGGAGUAGCUCUUGAGGUAAGCUACUAAACCCUAGCUUCUAGAACUUAGGGUUUUUGGGUUUUAUGCCUUGGAAUGGGUCAAAUGGACCCUAAGCAAGCUUCUAAAUAGAUCAAUCCCAAGAAUCUAGGGAUUUAUGGGGUGGUUUGCUAUAGGUGCAAAUCUAGGGUUCCAAAAUGGGGUUUUUGUAAAAGUAUGAGAUUGAUCUCAUUUGAAGCCUUGGAAACCCUAUUGAUAGGUCCCAAAACGCGGGGGCGAAGUCGAUUUUGGCAUUCGGCGAACCGACGUGAAGUUCUCGGCAAAAUCGGGCCGGGCUAGUGUUGAUUCGGGCGAGGAAGGCUAAAGCCUUUUUGCGAAGCUCGCCGAGAAGAAUUUCCAAAGCCUCUACAUCGAUAAAAAGGUGGGGGGUGUCAUCCGAAACUUUCGAACUCCUUUCUAUGUCUUAGAUUGCAUUUAAUCUCAUCUCUUCAUGUUGCAUUGUAGGAUUGCAUAGUAGCUCCAUUCCUUAUGCUUUCUAAUUGAUAACCUAGUGUACUUGGAACGCUUGGUAACUUAGAUAGGUGAGGAUUGGGUCGAGACGUGAAUCCUAUGGUGCGAAAGAAAAGAGAUGAACCCGAUGGGGGUAUUGAUGACAUAGAAAGUAGUGUUAUUGUUAAAGAACAAACGAGUGGCAUCCAAACAUUGAAUGAUAACGAGUGGCAUUAAUGUAGUGUAAAUAACACUAGAGGUCGAUGGACCUAGGGAUAGGUGGAUCCCUUAGAAAAUGCCUUGUGAACAAUGAAUUUAGAAAACUAAAUAGCAUUGCAUGAAUGUCGGGAACCGAUGAUUCCGCGAUAGUCGUUGACCCUAGUGUAGGGCGUCCUCACUUGGAGAGGAUUCGAUUGGGUUAUUGACUCUAGUUGUAGAGCCUCCUCACUUGGAGAGGAUUGGAUUGGGUGUUGACCCUAGUUACAGUGUAUCCUCACAUGGAGAGGAUAGAUCUAGCUCACAGUCUGCGUUUAGGGUGGCAUAGCCAUCCAAUCCCCACAUGGAGGGGAUUGUCGUCGAGUACUCCGGAGUGUCGCGCGACUAGGACCACUUGGAGGUCCGGACCACAUGGAGGUCCGCAGACGGUCCCGGGCUUGGGUGCACUUGGAGCUCCCUCCCCACUUUGGGAUUUGAAGGUGAGUCAUGGGCGAGCCCUAGGGCCUCGCCACAGAUUGGGUAAAUGAAAAAGGUUAAAGGUUUAUAAAUGUCAUUGAACAUUACUAUUCGAACAUGGAUCGAAUUUGUUAGCAUGGUAGCAAACCUUUAUUAUAUGAUGCAUGCAUUCAUAUUCAUGAUUAUGGGCAUAGUAGCAUAGUUUUCCUACUACUGCAUUUACAGCUUUCAGAUACAUAUCUAUCUAUCUAUCUAUCUGUUGUUACUUGUGCCCACUUGGACCUAGUGGGGAGAUCGGCAGAGUCGGCGGCCGAGCCCACUGGGAACUAUGGAAGAUAGUUCUCACCCCACUCUAUUUCCAGUGGUAGGUUCAGGGCUGCAGAGAGAGGACCGCGGCAAGGGCGUCGCGCCCGACCAGUGAGACCGUGGUAGUAUAGUAGCUUUCCUUUUUGCAUUAGUCACCUAUGUAUUGAGAGAGAUUCUUGUAGGUGAGGUUGGAGAGCUAUGUAUUUUGGAUGAAAAAUGAUGUAAUGAAUGUAACUAAUGUAAUAGUUAGUAAAGUACUCUCUUUAUUUCACUCGUAUAUCUUGUGGAUUACUUGCUCUUCUUGUUGUUGGCACUGUUUGUGCCCUCGUUGAAUGUGUAUGUUUAGAAUUUAAAGUCCUGGGUAAAUUCUUGUACACAUUCCUGUUGUUGAGCCUUGGGCGGACAGGGGAGGUGCUGUCCGUUCGGCGGUCUGUCGCCGCGGCCGAAUCGUGCCAAAUUGGUAGUGAUUUCGGGGCGGGGCGUGACAAAGGUACAAGUAUGAAACAUACAAGUAGAUAAAGAGAGAAAGCUCUAUCUAUUACAUUCAUUCAACUUAAUACAUUUAAUUACAUCUUUUACGUUCUUCCAAAAUAUAAAUACAAGCACUCAACCUCACCCUAUACAACAUCUACUCUCAAGCAUAAAUACAAGGUAGAGCUAAUGCAAAACGGGUGGAUAGCUAAUGCAACUAGGGCGCCGGGCCCUUACCGCGAUCCUCACGCUCGCUGGGGACACCCAAGCUCGAACCUGAAAAGAGUGGGGUGAGAACUAACUUCCUUAGUUCCCAGUGGGUUCGGCCGCCGACUCCGCCGGUCUCCCCACUAGGUCCAAGCGGGCACAAGUAGAUGAACAGAUAGAUAGAUAUUGAAAAGCUAUAAUAACAGAAGAGUAAGCUACACUACCGUGCCCGAAUCAUGUAUAUAAUGUAUGCAUGCACAAUGAAAUAGGUAAUCAACUAGCUCUUCGUAUGUCCAAGAAGUAAAGCUAUUUACUGUUCACUGAUCUCGUGGCUCAUUCAAGGAUCCGCCUAUUACUCACAUAGCCGUCUCGAUACUACGAAUCCGAGACCGUCUGCGGGAUCCCACAUAGGCUAUCCCUCGGGACCCCAAAUAGGCUAUCCCUAUCCCACGGGACCCCACAUAGGCUGUCCCUCGUGACCGACUCCGGAGCGCACUACUUGUGUGGAGCGACCAUCACAAGUCGGGAGCAGACAAUGAGUAUGAUCCAAUUCUCCCACCUCAAGGGUGCCCUAUCCUCUAGGGUUACUAUUGCCAUAGUCAAUGGGUUCACAACAACUAGAUGCCAUUCGUUCUUUUGUUUACUAACAACUAGAUGCCACUCGUUCUUUUGUUUCAAUCCUUGUAUCAUUCUUUCAUCGCCGCACUAUAGGAUUACAAGUCUCGACCCAAUCCACAUCAUUCCCUUAUACCCAGCAGUUCAUACAUAAUAUUGCAUCAAAUAGGAAAGCAUAAGGAAAGGCAAUGCACACUAUCCUAUAAUGCAUGAGAACACAGGAUGCAAGAUCACAAGGUACUAAGACAUAAAAGGGAGCCCGAUUGCUUCGGGAUGGACACCACCCACCUCUUGGCGAUGCCGCGACGGUAGAAAACUCGACGCUGCGGUCCCUGCAUGUCGCUUCAACUCCUCGGGGCGAAGCGAGCCCUCGUGUACUCAAUUCGGCGAUUUCUCCGCACUCGCUUGUCGGAUCGACAAACCGUCUACGCCGACGCGUUCCGUGACCUAGCAAUUAGGUUUGCGACCUAUUAAAAUAGAUCAAAACCCUAGAUUUACCAAAAUCCCAAAUCCGUGCCCUAGAAUGGCAACGAGGGGGAAAUCUAUUGUGCGAGCUUCGAUUGCGAGCUCGAACCAUCUAUUCAUCUCCUCUAGGUUCCAUUUGAACCAAUUCUAAGCAACAAAAACCUCAAACCCUAAAAACACCAUUAGAGGAUUUAGAGCUUACCUCUAAGCCAAGCUCCAAGCUUGCUCUAGCUUGAAGGAAAGAGGGAAGAAGGCCUUCUUCUUCUUCUUCUUGGACUUAUCCUUCCACUUCUUCUCCUUUACCUUCCUCUCCUUUCUCUCCUUCUUCUUCUCCUUCUUUUCUUUCCUAGAGAGAGAGUGAAAGAGUGUGAAAGGGAGAGAGAGCAAAUGAGAGGAAGAGAGGAGUCCCCCAGCCUCUAUUAAGGCCAUUUUGCAGAUAGCCCCCUCAACUUUUCAUUCUCUGAAACAGCCCUCACUGGGCCAUUUUCGCAGUGAGGGACCGAUCCCAGCUCGGGGAGACCGGUCCCCGAGAUUUACACUCUCGGGGCAUAAUAGAAAGCUUUUACUCCUUGUUCGAUAGAUUAAGAAAAAGUGCUCAUUGCAAAGUUAUACUGUUAUGGCGCAACAGAGUAGUCUAAUGUUGUUCAAGUUUUGGUUCUUGCGAACAUUGACAUCGAUUAGUUCCAAAUUUACACUCUCGGUGCAUAAUAGAACAAUAUUAUUAGGUUUUACACUUUAUUCGAUUGAACGAGAAAAAGUACUCGUCGCAAAGUUAUACUGUUAUGGCGCAACUGAGUAGUCUAAUGUAGUUCCGGUUUUGGUUCUUGUGAACGUUGACAUCGAUUCGUACCAAAUUUACACUCUCGGGGCAUAAUAGAAAGCUUUUACUCCUUAUUCGAUAGAAUAAGAAAAAGUACUCGUUGCAAAGUUAUACUAUUAUAGCGCAAUUGAGUAGUUUAAUGUUGUUCCGAUUUUGGUUCUUGUGAACGUUGACAUCGAUUCGUUCCAAAUUAAAACUCUCAGGGUAUAAUAGAACAAUAUAAUUAGGUUUUGCUCUUUGUUCGAUUGAAUGAGAAAAAAUACUAGUUGCAAAGUAAUAUUGUUAGGGCUCAACUGGGUAGUCUAAUGUUGUUCCGGUUUUGGUUCUUGUGAACGUUGACAUCGAUUCGUUCCAAAUUUACACUCUCGGGGCAUAAUAGAACAAUAUAAUUAGGUUUUACUCUUUUUUCAAUUAAAUGAGAAAAAGUUCUAGUUGCAAAGUUAUACUGUUAGGGCUCAAUUGAGUAGUCUAACGUUGUUCCGGUUUUGGUUCUUGUGAACGUUGACCUCGAUUCGUUCCAAAUUUACACUCUCGGGGCAUAAUAGAACAAUAUAAUUAGGUUUUACUCUUUAUUCGAUUGAAUGAGAAAAAGUACUCGUUGCAAAGUUAUACUGUUAUGGCGCAACAGAGUAGUCUAAUGUUGUUCCGGUUUUUGUUCUUGUGAGUGUUGACAUAGAUUCGUUCCAAAUUUAUACUCUCGGGGCAUAAUAAAACAAUAUAAUAAGGUUUUACUCUUUGUUCGAUUGAAUGAGAAAAACGACUUGUUGCAACGUUAUACUAUUAGGGCUCAACUGAGUAGUCUAACGUUGUUCUGGUUUGGUUCUUGUGAACACGGACAUCGAUUCGUUCCAAAUUUACACCCUCGGGGCAUAAUAGAAAGCUUUUACUCCUUGUUCGAUAGAUUGAGAAAAAGUACUCAUUGCAAAGUUACACUGUUAUGGCGGAACAGAGUAGUCUAAGGUUGUUCCAGUUUUGGUUCUUGUGAACGUUGACAUCGA